rnacentral:rRNA from 1 species
GAUGAACGCUGGCGGCGUGCCUAAUACAUGCAAGUCGAGCGAACGGACGAGAAGCUUGCUUUUCCGAUGUUAGCGGCGGACGGGUGAGUAACACGUGGAUAACCUACCUAUAAGACUGGGAUAACUUCGGGAAACCGGAGCUAAUACCGGAUAAUAUUUUGAACCGCAUGGUUCAAAAGUGAAAGACGGUCUUGCUGUCACUUAUAGAUGGAUCCGCGCUGCAUUAGCUAGUUGGUAAGGUAACGGCUUACCAAGGCAACGAUGCAUAGCCGACCUGAGAGGGUGAUCGGCCACACUGGAACUGAGACACGGUCCAGACUCCUACGGGAGGCAGCAGUAGGGAAUCUUCCGCAAUGGGCGAAAGCCUGACGGAGCAACGCCGCGUGAGUGAUGAAGGUCUUCGGAUCGUAAAACUCUGUUAUUAGGGAAGAACAUAUGUGUAAGUAACUGUGCACAUCUUGACGGUACCUAAUCAGAAGGCCACGGCUAACUACGUG